rnacentral:snRNA from 1 species
GUUGUUUCGUUAUAUUUACGAC